UGGUAGAUGCACCCUGAUUAAUUUCCCCAGCCCACCCGGACUGGGGAUUUUUUUU
rnacentral:sRNA from 1 species